CAAGAUGUAGCGUAAGGGUUAACGUACUUGCUUUGGGUGCAAGGGAAUGGCAGUUCAAAUCUGUCCAUCUUGA
rnacentral:tRNA from 1 species